rnacentral:rRNA from 1 species
UACGUAGGGUGCGAGCGUUAAUCGGAUUUACUGGGCGUAAAGCGUGCGCAGGCGGCCCGUUAAGACAGGUGUGAAAUCCCUGGGCUCAACCUAGGAAUUGCGCUUGUGACUGGCGGGCUCGAGUACGGUAGAGGGGGGUGGAAUUCCUGGUGUAGCAGUGAAAUGCGUAGAGAUCAGGAGGAACACCGAAGGCGAAGGCAGCCCCCUGGGCCUGUACUGACGCUCAUGCACGAAAGCGUGGGGAGCAAACAGG